AAGCGGCAACAGCUCAAAUUUGAAAUCUGGCCCUAGCGGUCCGAAUUGUAAUUUGUAGAGGAUGCUUUUGGUGCGGUGCCUUCCGAGUUCCCUGGAACGGGACGCCAGAGAGGGUGAGAGCCCCGUACGGUUGGACACCUACCCUAUAUAUAGCUCCUUCGACGAGUCGAGUAGUUUGGGAAUGCUGCUCUAAAUGGGAGGUAAAUUUCUUCUAAAGCUAAAUACCGGCCAGAGACCGAUAGCGCACAAGUAGAGUGAUCGAAAGAUGAAAAGCACUUUGAAAAGAGGGUUAAAUAGCACGUGAAAUUGUUGAAAGGGAAGCGUUUACGACCAGACCUCUUCCAGGCGGAUCAUCCGGUGUUCUCACCGGUGCACUUCGUCUGGUUUAGGCCAGCAUCGGUUUUCGUAGGGGGAUAAAGACCUGGGGAACGUAUCUCCUUCGGGAGUGUUAUAGCCCCUCGUGUAAUACCUCUACGGGGACCGAGGACCG
rnacentral:rRNA from 1 species